rnacentral:piRNA from 1 species
UNGGUCUGCUGUGCCUAUAUAAAGAGGGA